GAAAAAGCUAUGAAGGAGAGAGUAGAUUAUAUCUGAUUUCACAGAGAGCUGGUGGCUGCUGAGAACCAGUAAAUCAUUAUAAUUGAAGAUCACUCCAGAGCUGCAGGCUGAACAUUACAAUUAAGCCGUGCCGUUUGAAUGCGUUAAAUCUAAAUGAGUGCCAUAAAUUUGGCAUUAGGGUGGUAACACGGGUUAAACCUCGUCCCUUCU
rnacentral:ncRNA from 1 species